GUGAGGCUUAGGCUUCUAAGUCACUUCUGAAAAUUUAGACUAUACCUGAGUCCUGCAGUCUUUAUUAAAGUAAAAUUCCUCAGACUUUAGGUCUGGGGACUACUUAUUAACCACUUGAAGCAGGGAGCCUUACAGGGAAUGCUUGAAGAAUGUGUGGUUACUUACCAUAGUUGUUCUUUGAGAUGAUAGGGCAAAUCCAGACAACCAACCUGCCAUGCUGCCCCACUAUUUUAUAAUCUUUCAAGAGAUGCUUGAGUUUGUAGAAGGAACAGAGUGGUGUUUGGGCUGUAAAGACAUAGGCAGUUGCGCAAGAGUUGUACACUUGUCUGGCCUGUACCAUGGCAAUGCCCAUAGAACCACUGUUUCUGUGGUAGGAAAAUGUUCCUUUUGCAUACAUAUUAGAUAAAAAAAAUUAUUAUGCUUUGUUCUACAUCUUUUUACAUCUCCUUUCAGAAGCAGCUAACAGUUGAUGCUUUAACAAGUCAGUCCUUCACUUUUCUUUGUAUAGACAAGCAAAGGCUAGAGGCUGAGUGACAUUAACUGAAAUGUACUGUCAUGAACGUUUUUCUGUUUAGAGGUCUUUGAAGUAAAGAUCAGAAAUUAUUCUCUCACACACAUAUGCUUCUGAUGUUUUCAAGUGGUACUGCUCUGAUACAACAUAUAUAAACACUGAACAUAAAAAGUAUGAUUGUUUUCAGCAUCAUCUAAUUAAAUGAUAAAUCUGGAGAAUGAACAGAAUGAUUUGCUACUUCCAGAUUAAUUAUGCAUCUAUAAAUGUAUUGUAAAACUCACCACAAGGUUAAUUAGCUGUAACUCAUGGCAUUGAUCCUCAUAAAUACCAACAAUUUUAACCUGUUCAAAAUGCAGCUCAUAAAGAACUUGCCCUGCUGUACCUAUUGAAAAGCCAGGAGGCAGGCAGGUGCAAGCCAGUCUUGCUCUGCUAUAGUUGAAGAUAACAUAACUAUUGAAAAUGAAAUUUCAUGGAAACUGUUAUUUCAGGAUUUGAGUAUCUUAAGUGAAAAGUCUAUGUUAAGAAUGAGAGUACAUAUUAAUAACUUAAGAGUAAUUGACGUUCUUGGCAAUGAAAGUCUGCAGAUCCAUUAGAAUGGGUUUUUCACCUGCUUGCAGUUCCUUAGAGGCAGAACGAGACUUGUAAAUCAAUGCAGACUGGGACUAGCCACACCCCUGAAGACCUUAUCAGUUCAGUCUACCUCCAGCAGGUGCAGAUAUCCAUUGCACAAGCCCACUGCGCCCUGCUGAGGGAGCCAUCCAGCCUCUGAACACUGCAAGCCACUACACCCCACAGUUGACCAUAGAGAGAGGAGAGUGAAAGCAGCCCAGAUCUGGAGAAACAAGCAGAUGCAAAGCAUCUGUGCCAGAAGAGCAGUUAAACUAGUCUCCAUGGUUUAACUGUUUUUCCCAAUGGCUGGAACAUGGGUACUCUGCCAUAAUGGUACACAUGGUCAAGGAUGUUUUGGAAAGUAAACACUGACCUGGAAGGAAUACACAUUGUCUGUGUUUCUGAACACUCUGUCCACACAGCUUUCUUUGCUUUAAAGGUGAAUGUUAGAUGUUAAAUGCCACACACAUUAGAAAAAAAGAGAGACAGAAUCUGAGUUAUAAAACUAAACUCAGCCUCAUUGUCUGCAUUGCCAAUAAAUUAUCUUCUUUAUGAAGCUGCAGAGAAUUGUGCAUGAACUGUUUCUCUCUGAAUAACAGCAUAAAAUUUUAUUUAAAAGACCCUAAAAUGGGAAGCCUUCA